AGCUCCAAUAGCGUAUAUUAAAGUUGCUGCAGUUAAAAAGCUCGUAGUUGGAUCUCGGGUGCAGGCUUGCGGUCCGCCUCGCGGCGGUCACUGCUCGUCCUGACCUCCACGCCGGUUGUCCGCGCCUUGGUGCUCUUGAUUGAGUGUCUCGGCCGGCCGGAACGUUUACUUUGAAGAAAUUAGAGUGCUCAAAGCAGGCUACUACCGCCUGAAUAAUGGUGCAUGGAAUAAUGGAAUAGGACCUCGGUUCUAUUUUGCUGGUUUUCGGAGCUCGAGGUAAUGAUUAAUAGGGACAGACGGGGGCAUUCGUAUUGCGGCGCUAGAGGUGAAAUUCUUGGACCGUCGCAAGACGAACUACAGCGAUAGCAUUUGCCAAGCAUGCUUUCA
rnacentral:rRNA from 1 species